rnacentral:rRNA from 1 species
CUAGCACAUGCAAGUCGAACGGAGUUAUAUUGUAGCUUGCUAUGGUAUAACUUAGUGGCAGACGGGUGAGUAAUGUAUAGGAAUCUACCUAGUAGUACGGAAUAAUUGUUGGAAACGGCAACUAAUACCGUAUACGCCCUACGGGGGAAAAAUUUAUUGCUAUUAGAUGAGCCUAUAUUAGAUUAGUUAGUUGGUGAGGUAAAGGCUUACCAAGACAAUGAUCUAUAGCUGAUCUGAGAGGAUGAUCAGCCACACUGGAACUGAGAUACGGUCCAGACUCCUACGGGAGGCAGCAGUGGGGAAUAUUGGACAAUGGGCGAAAGCCUGAUCCAGCCAUGCCGCAUGAGUGAAGAAGGCCUUCGGGUUGUAAAGCUCUUUUAGUGAGGAAGAUAAUGACGGUACUCACAGAAGAAGUCCUGGCUAACUCCGUGCCAGCAGCCGCGGUAAUACGGAGAGGGCUAGCGUUAUUCGGAAUCAUUGGGCGUAAAGGGCGCGUAGGCGGGUUAGUAAGUUAAAAGUGAAAUCCCAAGGCUCAACCUUGGAACUGCUUUUAAAACUGCUAGUCUAGAGAUUGAAAGAGGAUAGAGGAAUUCCUAGUGUAGAGGUGAAAUUCGUAAAUAUUAGGAGGAAUACCAGUGGCGAAGGCGUCUAUCUGGUUCAAAUCUGACGCUGAGGCGCGAAGGCGUGGGGAGCAAACAGGAUUAGAUACCCUGGUAGUCCACGCUGUAAACGAUGAAUGUUAAAUAUGGGAAGUUUACUUUCUGUAUUAUAGCUAACGCGUUAAACAUUCCGCCUGGGGACUACGGUCGCAAGAUUAAAACUCAAAGGAAUUGACGGGGACCCGCACAAGCGGUGGAGCAUGUGGUUUAAUUCGAUGCAACGCGAAAAACCUUACCACUCCUUGACA